UGGUCCUUGAAGUCUAUAUGCCAUUAUUCAUUUUGUUGAUAAAUUAGGACUGUUUUGAUUUACGAGAUUAAAAUAAUUAGGAAGUAGAACCCAAGCAUUAAUGUAAAGGAUGUGUCAAAUCCUUAAUCAAGGGAUUUACCUUCCUCCUUACAUUCGGAUUCCUUUAAUUCAGGAAUUUGUUCCUUCUGUUUUUUCUAUUUAAGCUGUAUUACUCAGCUGUAAUAUUCAACUUAGUAGAAACAAAUAUUACUACAUCGUAUCAGAGCUUUUAGGGUUUGAUCAUGAACUACAAGGCUGCCAUAGUGGGUUCUAGCUCAGCCAACUCUGACAUGAGCAGUGGUGCGAUGACCCCAGAAGGAGGCAGCCAACACAAAACAUGGGACACUCUGCGCAAUACAACUCAGAGGAUUCCAGAAAAUGAAACUCGAUCCAUACCAGCAGCUUUCUCGAUAAAUGACCACUCUCUUCAAAUUACCGUUCACAAAUUGAAUGAAAAAAAUUAUCUCUAGUGGUCCAAGUCCGUGCAGUUGGUGAUUGACGGCAAAUGAAAGCUAGGGUAUUUGAAUGGGGAAAUCCAAGCUCCGUCCACCACUAACCCAAAAUACAAACAGUGGCGUUUGAAAAUUCUAUGGUUACAGCAUGGUUAAUCAACUCUAUGGAUCAAGUGAUUGGUAAACCUUUCUUAUUUCUAUCAACAGCGUAGGUAAACUGUGAAGGAACAUACUCUGAUUUGGACAAUCACUUCUAGUUAUUUGAAUUAACCACCCAGAUGUGGAAAAUUCAGCAAGGAGAUAGAGGAGUUACAGUCUACUACAAUGAGAUGAUGACUAUAUGGCAAGAACUAUAUAUAUUUGACGAAGAAAAUUGGAAAAACAAAAAUGAUAGCGCUCGCUACAGAAAAAAGGUGGAAAGAGGGCGCGUAUUUGUCUUUCUAGCAGCGGCUGAAUAAAGAACUUGAUGAAGUCCGAGGACAUACAUUAGGAAGGAAGCCUUUACCAUCCAUCAGAUAAGUUUUUCAGAAGUGAGAAGAGAAAAGUCAAGAAGGCAAGUAAUGCUGAAAAAUACUCAUGAAGGAUCAACCUUCAUAGUACGAGGUGGAGAAAAGCAAAGACCUUGGUGUGACCAGUGUAAACGGCUAUUGCACACAAAAGAAACAUGCUGGAAAUUAAAUGGUAAACCACCUCCAAAGAGAAAGAGCAAUGAUCCCAUACCAGGGGAGAAACCCACUCAUUUCAAGCAAGCAUCUCAUAUCAGGGGUAGCAAUCUUCCCCGGAAUCUCUUACCUUCACAAAGGAACAAAUAGAUGAUCACACUAGAAAACUCUGAUUCAUUACUUUUAUUGAUGAUCACAUUAGGUUCACUUGGGUGUUCCCUUUACAAGAAAAAUCUGAUGUUGCACUUGCUUUCAAAUUUUUUUAUCAAAUGGUUCACACACAAUUUCAAACUCAGAUCAGGAUUUUUUGCAGAGAUAAGUGCAAGGAAUUUUUUAAUAAAAAUUUGAUCCAAUUUUAAAAAAUUAUUGUGUCUAUGGAUGUCACCUAUUUUGUGGGAACUUCAUACUAUAAUGAGCCCCAUCUUUAGGGGGAGCACGCUAGUGAAGAUGGCUUCUUAGACACUUCAGAUUUAUGCUUUGAAUUUCCCAAUAUUGUUCUAGAGAAUUUUAAAACAAAGGAAGGAAAUUCUUUGGAAAGCUUUGAGGAAAAUCAUGAGGCAGAAAAUGAAACACUGGUGGAAACAAAUGAAUUAAAUGAACUAGAUAAUUCUGCAAACCCACAGAAUAUGGUGAUGCCGUGUCAAGAUAACGAAACUGACUCAAGAGAGGAAAAUGAGAGAAGGCACAAAGGUUUGGUAUAUACAAAAGAACACCAGACUGAAAAAAGGAAGAAAGCCACUGUCCAGCAACCUCAAUCAUCUACCCAAAGGAUGGAUAGUGAAAAUCAUGAUAGUUCUACACCACACCUUGACAAUAGUUCAUCAGACCAAGCUUGGGGACAUUAAAAAAGGUGUUCCUGUAGAUUCUGGAAGAUAUCAAAGACUUGUCGGUAAACUUAUUUAUUUGUCUCACACUCAUCAAGAUAUUGCCUUUGCUUUAAGCAUCGUGAUUGAUGCAUUCUCCGUAUGAACAACGUCUUGAGGCUGUUUAUAGGAUUCUCAAGUACUUAAAAGGCACACCAGGAAAAAGUCUCUUUUUUGGGAAAACUAAAAAAAGAAGAAUUGAAGUUUAUACUGAUGCGGAUUGGGGUGGUUCUAUUACUGAUAAAGUGUAAUGCACUUUCUUAUGGAGUAAUCUUGUCACCUAGAGGAGUAAAAAACAAAAUCUUGUUGCUAAGAGUAGUGUGGAGGUUGAAUUUAGAUCAACAGAUCAAGGAAUUUGUGAGGUUCUAUGGUUGAAAAGAGUAGUCGAAGAGCUAGGAAACACGGUAAUUUUUCCUUUGCGGUUUAAAAGUGACAACAAGGCUGCAAUUAGUAUAGCCCAUAAUCCAGUCUUGCAUGACCGUACAAAACAUGUUGAGAUUGAUAAACAUUUUAUCGAGGAGAAGCUUGAAGGAGUGAUCUGCAUUCCAUUUGUUCCAACUACCCAACGGAUUGCGGAUGUUCUAACUAAAGACCUUUUGAGACAGCCGUUUGAACAUCAAGUUACCGAGUUGGGCAUGAUAGAUAUCUUUGAACCAACUUAAGGGGGAGUAUUGAUAACUUAGGAUUGUUAUGAUUUAUAAGAUUUAAUAAAUUAGAAACUAAAAUCCGAGCAUUAAUGUAAAUGAUGUGUCAAAUCUUUAGUCAAGGGAUUUACCUUUCUCCUUUCUCUUUGCUAUUUAUUUCUUACAAUUCAGAUUCCUUUAAUCUGACCCCUGUUUUUUCUAUUUAAGCUGUAUUACUCAGAUGGAGUAUUCAACUUAAUAAAAACAAAUAUUACUACA